rnacentral:rRNA from 1 species
CUUCUUUUGCAGCCCACUCCCAUGGUGUGACGGGCGGUGUGUACAAGGCCCGGGAACGUAUUCACCGUGGCAUUCUGAUCCACGAUUACUAGCGAUUCCGACUUCAUGGAGUCGAGUUGCAGACUCCAAUCCGGACUACGACAAGCUUUAUGGGAUCCGCUUACUCUCGCGAGUUUGCAACCCUUUGUACUUGCCAUUGUAGCACGUGUGUAGCCCAUCUCGUAAGGGCCAUGAUAAAACUCUAUCGUCCCCACCUUCCUCCGGUUUGUCACCGGCAGUCUCCUUAGAGUUCUCAGCAUAACCUGCUAGCAACUAAGGAUAAGGGUUGCGCUCGUUGCGGGACUUAACCCAACAUUUCACAACACGAGCUGACGACAGCCAUGCAGCACCUGUCUCAGAGUUCCCGAAGGCACUAAAGUAUCUCUACUAAAUUCUCUGGAUGUCAAGAGAUGGUAAGGUUCUUCGCGUUGCAUCGAAUUAAACCACAUGCUCCACCGCUUGUGCGGGCCCCCGUCAAUUCAUUUGAGUUUUAACCUUGCGGCCGUACUCCCCAGGCGGUCUACUUAUCGCGUUAGCUUCGCAAAACAGCGCUUAAGCGCCAAGCUGCUAGUAGACAUCGUUUACGGCGUGGACUACCAGGGUAUCUAAUCCUGUUUGCUACCCACGCUUUCGUACAUGAGCGUCAGUGUCGACCCAGGUGGCUGCCUUCGCCAUUGGUAUUCCUUCAGAUCUCUACGCAUUUCACCGCUACACCUGAAAUUCUACCACCCUCUGUCGCACUCUAGUCAUCCAGUUUCAAAUGCAGUUCCCAGGUUGAGCCCGGGGCUUUCACAUCUGACUUAAAUGACCGCCUGCGUACGCUUUACGCCCAGUAAUUCCGAUUAACGCUCGGACCCUCCGUAUUACCGCGGCUGCUGGCACGGAGUUAGCCGGUCCUUCUUCUGCGAGUAACGUCACACCUGAUGGGUAUUAACCAUCAAGCUUUCCUCCUCGCUGAAAGUGCUUUACAACCCGAAGGCCUUCUUCACACACGCGGCAUGGCUGCAUCAGGCUUGCGCCCAUUGUGCAAUAUUCCCCACUGCUGCCUCCCGUAGGAGUCUGGU